rnacentral:sRNA from 1 species
CCCUAGCCCUGAUGGAAGCGGCAUCCUUUUUUAAAUUUGCCGAAGCGCAGCGAAGGUAAAUUUAAAAAAGAUACAGCGGACAGCGGGAAUAGCU